UACGGGGGGGGCAAGCGUUGUUCGGAAUUACUGGGCGUAAAGGGCUCGUAGGCGGCCAACUAAGUCAGACGUGAAAUCCCUCGGCUCAACCGGGGAACUGCGUCUGAUACUGGAUGGCUUGAAUCCGGAAGAGGGAUGCGGAAUUCCAGGUGUAGCGGUGAAAUGCGUAGAUAUCUGGAGGAAUACCGGUGGCGAAGGCGGCAUCCUGGACCGAGAUUGACACUGAGGAGCGAAAGCCAGGGGAGCAAACGGG
rnacentral:rRNA from 1 species